CAGGCAGAGUGUAUCGGCCGCUCUUUGGUUCGCCAAGGGGAGGAAAGUCCGGACUCCGCAGGGCAGGACGUUCCGUGGUUAACGCGGAAACUCCGGUGCGAGAUCGCCGGGGAUGGAAAGUGCCACAGAAAUUAUACCGCCCUGAGGGCGCUUCGGCGCAUCGAAGGGUAAGGGUGAAAUGGUGGGGUAAAAGCCCACCGCUCCAAGGGUAACCGCGGAGGCAGGGUAAACCCCGUCCGGAGCAAGAUCAAAUAGGGAACAAGGAGCUGCCCGCUCCGCUUGAGUUCCGGGUUGAUCGCAUUAGAUAAAUGGCUGACUCCUUCGGGAGAACAGAAUCCGGCUUACCGCUCUGCCUGCGCU
rnacentral:RNase_P_RNA from 1 species